rnacentral:rRNA from 1 species
UACGGGAAGGGCAAGCGUUAUCCGGCAUGACUGGGCGUAAAGAGUCCGUAGACUGUAAAGUAAGUUUUUUGUGAAAUUUUAAAACCUAAUUUUAAAAAAGCAUUAAAUACUGCUUUACUUUGAGUUUAGUGCAGAAAAGUGGAAUUUUAUAUGGAGGGGUGAAAUCCGUAGAUAUAUAAAGGAAUGCCAUUAGCGAAGGCGACUUUUUGGUAUAAACUGACGUCGAGGGACGAAAGUGUGGGGAGCGAACAGG